rnacentral:rRNA from 1 species
UGUCUUUUUGAAAUUAAUAUAAAGUUUAAUCUGCCCACUGAUUUAAUAAUUGAAGGGCUGCAGUAUAUUGACUGUACAAAGGUAGCAUAAUCAUUAGUCAUUUAAUUGAUGACUUGUAUGAAGGAUUGGAUGAAAUAUAAUCUGUCUCUUAAUUAAUAAUAGAAUUUAAUUUUUUAAUUAAAAAGUUAAAAUGGUUUAAAAAGACGAGAAGACCCUAUAGAGUUUUAUAAAUAAAUUAAUUAAGAUUAUUUAGUAAUAUAAAAUUAAAAUUAAAUUAUUUAUUAUAUUGGGGUGAUAGAAAAAUAUAAUUAACUUUUUUUAUAAAUUAAACAUUUAUAAGUGAUUAAAUGAUCCAGUAUUAUUGAUUAUAAGAAAAAAUUACCUUAGGGAUAACAGCGUAAUUUUUUUUUUUAGUUCACAUAAGAAAAAGAGUUUGCGACCUCGAUGUUGGAUUAAGAUAAAAUUUAAAUGCAGAAG